GGAUGUGAGGGCGAUCUGGUUGUGACAUCUGUCACCCCACUGAUCGCCAGGGUUGAUUUGGCUGAUCUGGCUGGCUAGGCGGGUGUCCCCUUCCUCCCUCACUGCUCCAUGUGCAUCCUUCCCGAACCUGUGCGCUCAGUCAAAGAGGACGCCCAUCCCCAAUAGAGGAGGACCGGUCUUCAGCCAAGGGUAUACGAGUAGCUGUGCUCCCCCUGCUAGAACCUCCAAAUGAGCUCUCAAGAAAACAUGAACAUAUAAACUCACUGGCUUCUCACAAAUGAGAAUGAGAGAAGAUUCAACUGUUACCGCUAUAGAAAACUGUUAAACUACAAUGAUAAGUAAUAA
rnacentral:snRNA from 1 species